rnacentral:tRNA from 1 species
UGCGAAAUAGUGUAAUUCGGUUGCACAUUAGGCUCAUGACCUUAUAGUAGUUGUUCGACUCAACUUUUCGCUA